rnacentral:lncRNA from 12 species
CUAAGAUUCAGCAGCUCAUUUCACUAUCGUAUUUUGCACAGCUCCACUAAUAACAUUAGAUUCAGACUUGAUUUGUUGAAAACUUAUGGGAAAAAAGCAUAUUUUGAUCAAGGCCAAUUAGGAGGAAUUCCUGGAAACCGCACUGCUCUAACACAGCUCUCCAUUAGUUACUUGUAUUUACAUAGCUCCAAAAACAUGCCAGGAAAAUUAAGGUAAUUAUGAAAUUCUAAGAGAAAUUUUUGCUAUAUUGUUCCUUAUAAGGGAUUCCUCGGAGCCCAGACCUGCCUCAGUUCACAAAAGAUGGAUGAACACUGUAAUUAGAAAACACAUAAAAGAUCUGGCUCCAUUUCCAAGAGAAUCAGACAAGUCCAUCAAACCGCGAUCAGUCUCCCUGCGUUUGCAGGGCUCUGUGCUGUACGCAGCCCAGGCUGUGCCUGCCUGGGGGUCAGCUGGUGAGUUUGAGGUAUCCAGAAACCUCUUGGUCAAGUGAUAAGGAACAGCAGUUCAAAUGAAACACACUGAUCACUGAUCACCCAUUGCCUCUUCA